rnacentral:lncRNA from 1 species
GAGUAUUCAUGGUUAGAGUCUCAGUCUCUAUUACGGGCCCUAGUACACUUCAGGAACUCAAAAGCUUUGCUGAUAUAAUGCAAGGUGAUAAAAAAGUAGAAAGACUUGGGAUAAUCUUGAUUUCUGAAGGCAUCAAACGGGAAUUAGAGAAAGCAGCAGGAAAAACGAAGGCCUUUUUAAGUUCCAUGAGAACUACGGUUUGCAAGACUGGUCAAAACAGUACAAUGCAAGCGGCAAGAAUCAGGAAGUGCACAGAAACAAGAAGCUCGGUGCACACUGGGAUCAGGCAAGCAUCUGGGAGAAGACUGUAGCAAGACUGGAUCCUGAGAAAUAUACAGAGUUCAGAGGCUCCAUGGCUACACUUUGGGCAUGUAUGUCAUUACAGGAAUGAAAAAAAGAUGAUGGCCAAAUGCUGUAUUAAAAUCCCAUUAGAAAUGCCGGGAGAAAUUUAUGGCCCCAAUCUCUUUUAUCUGACAGCAGUUCCCAUGUGAUCCAUCAGGCUCUGAACAUGAAUUUUAAUGGGCUCAGAACCACUUCUCUACCCUGAGGUCACAGGCUGUCAGAGUGAAUCUUCCACAAACUGAUUGGAACCUGAAGAAUUUGCUCUGUCAAGAGAGGAAAAAAGGCAUAAACCUUAGGUGGUAUGGAGAAUGAGGAAAGGGGAGGAGAAGGAGAAAUCCAAAAGAUAGGUGGAAAACCAUGGGAGCAAAUCAAGGCAGGAAAUCAGAGAAAUCAAAGCCAGAGAGCAUCUCAGGAAGAGCUGAUGGCUACCAGCACUGAAUACCACAGAGAUUAUUACAUCGCAAGACAAUGCAUCGCUCCAGCAAGGAUAACAAAGCGAAUGGGAAGGAAAGGGUUAUGAAGAGUUCAUGGAAGGCACCUUAGGCAGACUACUUUUAGGAAAGAGUGGAUGUGGAAGCUAAGUAUCUGGAAAUUGAUUUCCUUAGAACAGUUUGUGUUUGCAUGUCUUCUGAAAGGUUUUAUGUACUCCCAAGAGUAAGUAUACCUGUUUGAAGAAGCUGCUCAAUAUAGUUCUUAAAAUAGUCUACAAACAUGUUACCCCAGCAUAGUAAGAAAUAGGAGUACAGCCAGAAAUGAGAGUGGGAAUGAUUAGAGAGACCUCUUUGAGGCCUUGGUCGUGGGCAGGAGCACAGUGGGCCGGGCUCUUUCUAGAUGUGCUUUAAUCAUCAGGAAUUCUGAUACAAUUAUAUUUUGACUAUGAUAUAUAAGCUUCAUUUGAUUACUGUUGCCAAAUAUUUUUUGCUCUUCACGAAGUAAACCUCUUUUUAAAACUUUUUAACUGGCAAAUAAUAAUUGCAUCUAUUUAGGGAGUACAUUGUGAUGUUUUGAUACAUGAUUACAUUGUGGAAUGAUUUAAUCAAUCUACUUAAAUUUAGUGAAAAUAACUUAAGCUAUUAAUCUCAGCCUUGGUGGCUUCUCCUAAUUUAUGCUUACACAAGAGGCUAUCUUCAUUGUGAAAUGUCACAGACUCUCACAAGCAAGAGAAGAAAAUGUAGAGAAGCCCCUCAAAUAAAAUGCAUUAGGUUAAUUCAUACCGACAAAUGUGACACACUUAAAAUUGUUCCUAACAUCAGUUCAUGAUUUAUUUCAAAAGUUCUUAAUAUUCAAAAAUGCUCAAUAAUUUAAAGUAUUUCAAUGUAUAUAGCAAAUAAACCCUGCUAUUAAAACAAAAGAAUCAGGUUCAUUUCAGAAGAGUGAAAACUAGCAAGAUCUUACUGUAAAUCAACUGUUUGUUUUCAAUUAUUUGGCAUGAGAUCUUACAUAUUUUUAACCCAUGUUUUAAUUCUCGUAGAUACCCUGUUGCAAAAGUUCUGAAACAUUGUGAGAAAAAGUGUUUUUGUAGCACUUUGGCAAUGGGAGCCUCACUUCACUCUGUUAUGUAAUGUCCCAUCCAGUUUUUAGUUAAACCUGGAAACACCUUUGUCCUUAGGUGAAGCAGCAAGUCUUGCUUAAGCAAAGCUGGUGAAAUCAGAGCCUGGUCCAAGGCUCAGAAGCGUUUGCGGGGAAAAGCAAACACUUUUUGUGGGAGAAGGAAACAAAGGAGAAGAGAGGAGGAGGAAGAAAUUGAAAAAGAAGGGGAAGAGAAGAGGAAAAGAAAAAGAGACGUUGAGAGAAAGAAAAACAGAGAGCUGUGUGUGAUUGGAUGCCAUGACUCCUCAGUCUUAGUGCUAAUGCCGUUGUUACCUAACUCUAUUUAGGGAACUUUCCAGAACAAAGCGAAGCUUUGUGGGCCUGGCUUUCAGAACUUAUGCAACAAUUGUUUUGGGAGCAGACUGAAAAUUUUACAAGAGAACUGAGUUUUCAAGAGACUGACGGUGUGACCAAAAGAUCAAAGGUUUGGUGCAGUGGGACUAAGUUUCAGGCAGCCUUUCAAAUUGUGAAGACUUUCCUCCCUGUUAUGGCAGUUAAGACAUGUGAAAAUGGUAGUUCGAGACACUUAUAAGCAACUUUCUUCUUAGUUCACAAUGUUCCAUGAAUGUCAGUGCCCUCCAAACUCACGAGAACAAAGCAGGCAACCAGGAUGAUUACUCCCAAAUCAUUGAUAAAAGGAGAGAGAAGUACAGAGAUACACAGUGAUUUGUGUGGGUUGCCAAAAAGUUGCACGGAGGAAACACAGAUAAAUUAAAUACUGGUUAGCAAUCUUUAAUAACCAGGAGAUGCUUAACAUUUAUUUAGAAAUCUGCAACAUUUUAUAAAUCAUUGUUUUGGCUUCUGGGACAAACUCAGAAUCUGGAACCCACGGAAACCCUUCAGUUACACAAAGGCUUUCCAGUUCAUUGCUACUGCACUGAAGAACAGUCUUCACAACUAUACCUGGAACUUACUAGGCCAAGAAGGCAAGGCGUUGAGUGUUUCAAUUGAAUAUUGCAACUGAAGACAUUCACUCUGCGUUGAUCACCUAUGGAGUGAUCAAAUUUCAACCCUUUGAAGUUUCCUAAAUGAAAGAGGCACUCUGAAUUCAAAGGCUGUUUGAAUGAACUGACUGCUUCAGCACUGUCUUGUAGAUAUAGUCCAUUCAAAUAAAAGACAAAUAUCUGACUGAAUUUUGUUAGCACGUUAAGACAUGUAUUAUAAAAAGGUUUAAGAAGAAAAUAAUGGCCACAAUUCUUCAGAAAACAUGUGAACUAAUGUGACAAAACACUGUGGUGUUGCAAACUCAAGUGCUGCUCUGGCCAAGUCACCUCGCUGAAAUCUCCACUUCCACUUGUGCAACCUACCAAGCCACUCUCUACACAGCUGCCAGAGUGAUUACAAAAACAACGCGGGAUUAUGCUACCCCUGCUUAUCUAAAAUUUGUCAAAAUGCCCGUUACACUUUGAAUAAAAUACAGAUUCCUCUCAGAUCUCAUUUCUUAUCAUGUCUUUCUCAAUCAUUAUGUUCCAGCCUCACUGACCUUCUUUCUGUUCCUGUAAAAUAUUCCUGCCUCAAGGGCGCAGGCCUACGACCUGCAGUUCUCUUUUUCCCACAUGUGACCAGGCUCUCUCUUAGCCAUCAGGUCUCAAAUAAGCUCUUUCCGUUCUGUCUAGGCAUCUUAUCAAAAUCAACCUGUGUAUUAUUAUUCAUUUAUCACAUAAUCUUGUUUUAUUUUCCUCAUAGCACUCUCACUUUCUGAAAUUA